rnacentral:lncRNA from 1 species
CUUCUUUACGUUUUUUUUAUUUGCAUUUAAUUUACUUUGCAAAUUUGGAAGGAUGAGGAGUUGUCUAACGGGCUCUGCCGAAUUCAACUUCUUAUUUCCCCACUACGUUGAUUUUAUUUACUUUAUGUUUAAUUAUUUUCUUGCAUUUUGAAAGGAUGAGAACUUGACUAACUGACUAUGCCGAUUCAUCUUCUUAUUUCCCCAAUCUGUUUAUUUAUUCUACGUUCAUUCUCUCCUUGCAUACUCCCUUUUAUGUUUAUUCAAUUUUCUGUGUACUAUAAUCCUUUUCGUAUAUUCUAUCUGUCUGUUAUUAUUGGUUUAGCUGAUCUUGAAUAUAUUUUCUUUAUUUUCCAUCUUUUGAAUAUUAGGCGUUUAAUCGGUAAAAAGUUUAAGUAAUGAAAUUUAUAUAGUUAGGAUAUGAAUCUUUGAUGUUUGAGAAUAUUUUUAGGAUCUGUGAAGAUUAAGAAUGAGUUCUGGAUGUUUAGAAAGGUUGUACGAUGAAAGGAAUAGUUCGUACAGUNCGAAAAGUGAAUUUUCGUGAUUCUAGAAUGACGAACUCGCUGAAGCGAGUUACGCGCGGCAGAUUUAGUGUUUUUGAUGAUCUUGACGUUUUGGGAGUUCUAGAUGUCCGUUUUGGACGUUCUUUAGGUUGUUCUGGGGGUUUUUGACCCUUCCGGAGCCAUUGGUAAUGGUCUCCAAGCUGUUUGAGGUACUAAAGUGUUCGGAUUAAUAACCCAUGAAGUUAAUUANGAUAGUAUGUGACGUUUUCUGAAAUGUCUGAGUAUGUAUGAAUUAUUCCUGUUGAUGUGAAUAAAGAUUGGAAUGUAUUGAANGUAUGAUUUGUGAAUGGAAAGUGUGGAAUAGAGUUCCAGAGAGGAACUCCUGUGGACUGUAUGUUGAAUGUUGUAUGUGUGAAUAUAAGAGCUCAGAUCUAGGGGUUCAUUCNAAGACUCUCAAUAGUUUUGAUCUCACGUGGUGAGAUAGCUAUGCGGUGGAGAGUGGGAAGUCCUUACCGAAGAUCCAUUUUAAUGGACAGAGUAGGAAGGAUGUAGCUUCAGUGGUUGUAUCUAUAUCCGAAGAUCCAGUUAGGGGACAGAGUAGGAUAAGAGUAUUGAGCUAGCAAUUAAAUACAUCCUUAUCUGAAGAUCCAUUUUGAGGGGACAGAGUAGGAUANGAUGUAGUUGUGUAAGGUACCACUGUAAGUGUUGAACCUGCUAGGAGUUCGAUACUCACAUGAAUGUUUGGAUGAGUUGAGUGUAUGAUGAUUAUGGUAUGUUUAUUUUCUUAUUGAGAAAUUGUUAUGCGAGAAGGAAGUAUGUUAUUAAUUUAAAUAUACCAUGUGUUUUCUAUUGUAUUAGCUCACCCUUGCUUUGUUUGUUGUUUGGUCGUUAUUGUAUGUUAUGUGUUAAAUCUCGGCGAUGAUCAUCCGGUGGGUGUGAGCAGAAGAUGAUGAAAUACCGGUGGAGCAGGCAUUAGAUGGAGAACCGACUGGAGUUUAGUCAAUAUGGAAGUGACUUUGUAUUAUAUGUUCUUAAGUAGGAAUUGUNUUAAGAUAUAUUUCCAGGGUUGAUUUGUAUAAUAAUGAGGAAAACU